AAUGAACGCUGGCGGCGUGCCUAACACAUGCAAGUCGAGCGGGGUUGAAGCGAGGGGUAACUCAAGCUUCUACCUAGCGGCGGACGGGUGAGUAACGCGUGGGCAACCUGCCUCAAGGUCUGGGAUAACAGCUCGAAAGGGCUGCUAAUACCGGAUAUGCCUAUGGCCUCGCAUGGGGCUAUGAGCAAAGGGGAAACCUGCCUUGAGAUGGGCCCGCGUCCCAUCAGCUAGUUGGUGAGGUAACAGCUCACCAAGGCGACGACGGGUAGCCGGCCUGAGAGGGUGACCGGCCACACUGGGACUGAGACACGGCCCAGACUCCUACGGGGGCAGCAGUGGGGAUCUUGCACAAUGGGCGAAAGCCUGAUGCAGCGACGCCGCGUGAGCGAAGAAGGCCUUCGGGUUCGUAAAGCUCUGUCGUGGAGGGACGAAGGAAGUGACGGUACUCCGGAGGAAGCCGACGGCUAACUACGUGCCGAGCAGCCGCGGUAAACGACG
rnacentral:rRNA from 1 species